rnacentral:rRNA from 1 species
UGGGGAAUAUUGCACAAUGGGCGCAAGCCUGAUGCAGCCAUGCCGCGUGUAUGAAGAAGGCCUUCGGGUUGUAAAGUACUUUCAGCGGGGAGGAAGGGAGUAAAGUUAAUACCUUUGCUCAUUGACGUUACCCGCAGAAGAAGCACCGGCUAACUCCGUGCCAGCAGCCGCGGUAAUACGGAGGGUGCAAGCGUUAAUCGGAAUUACUGGGCGUAAAGCGCACGCAGGCGGUUGAUUGAGUCAGAUGUGAAAUCCCCGGGCUUAACCCGGGAAUUGCAUCUGAUACUGGUCAGCUAGAGUCUUGUAGAGGGGGGUAGAAUUCCAGGUGUAGCGGUGAAAUGCGUAGAGAUCUGGAGGAAUACCGGUGGCGAAGGCGGCCCCCUGGACGAAGACUGACGCUCAGGUGCGAAAGCGUGGGGAGCAAACAGG